GUGCGAGUGACAAGGCAGCUUCACAUCUCUGUGCUUCCUUCUCCUCAUGGGCGAAGUCAGGAAAAGUGUCUCUCCUUCCUGUUCCUUCUGAAGCCAUCGUGGUUAUCCCAGGCAACUACAGUCAGCUUCUCUCAACCCAAGGGACUCAAUUCCAAAGAGGGAGCAGGGAGAGGGCAGCUGCCCG